rnacentral:miRNA from 1 species
GUUAGGUCAAGGUGUAGCCCAUGAGCUGGCAAGAAAUGGGCUACAUUUUCUACU